UACAGAGGUCUCAAGCGUUGUUCGGAUUCAUUGGGCGUAAAGGGUGCGUAGGUGGCGUGGUAAGUCGGGUGUGAAAUUUCGGAGCUUAACUCCGAAACUGCAUUCGAUACUGCUGUGCUUGAGGACUGGAGAGGAGACUGGAAUUUACGGUGUAGCAGUGAAAUGCGUAGAGAUCGUAAGGAAGACCAGUGGCGAAGGCGGGUCUCUGGACAGUAACUGACGCUGAGGAGCGAAAGCGUGGGGAGCGAACAGG
rnacentral:rRNA from 1 species